GCCCUCCCGGCCCGGCGUUGGCGCAUCGUGUGCUCCUCCCCAAUCCCCGCCUCUCCUCCUCUCCCCAAUCCCCGCCUCCCCUGCCUUGAGCCGCCUCUUCUCCUCUCCCCAAUCCCCGCUCCCCAUUCGCCGCCUUGAGCAGCGCCGGCGGUUGAUGCAGGAGAGAGAGGAGCAGGUGCACCAUCUCGGCGACCUCCUCCGCGGCGGCGAGCAAGGCGCGAGUGACGGGCCACCGCGGGGGCGGCGCGACGGCGGGCUUGCCCUUGAACCGUGCGUCGACGUGGCGCACGAGGGUGUCGACGGCGCCGCAGAGCUCCGGGCCGGCGGCGGAGAGGCGGAGCACGGGGCGGCCAAGAGGAGCGGCGCCGGCAUGGUCACGCUACGCCCCCGUUCUGGACCUCCUCGCGCCGUUCUGGAGGUGGAGCAGAUGGGUGCUCUAGGGGCGGUGCUGGGACAGAGGUGGAGGAGCAGCACGGGGCAGCUCUGGGGCGGAAGUGGAGCAGAAAGGGGCGACCAUGGGGGCGGCGCUAGGUGGAGAGGGGCUUGGCUAAGAAUUAGUCCACCUACAGGUUUUAGUUUAUCUAUGCCUACAAGGUGUUUGACAAAAAUCCUGUAAGGGAGAGAUGAACCAAAUCUGAUAUUGCUCUGUUGUUUACUCAAGAAUUUCGUUUUUCCAGAAAUUUAGUGAAGGCCACAAUAGAUUUAUCGCCGGGUUUUUACGUGCUGCUAUGAUUCUAUCUUACUUUGCCGCCUCGCUGAUAAGGAUUAAGCCGUCUCUCCGAUAAAGGUAUAUGGCGUGACCGGCUGGAUGGACUUGCAGGUAUUUGAUGAUUUGUUCCUAUACAACUUUGUUGCAUUUGAGUACAGUUUAGUCUAAGACAAACUAUUUAUAAUUCAUGGUAAUCUAAUCGAUGCGCAUGCUUCUUAUAUGCAACGAUAUUCAAUGUUUUCUCUACCUUGUAUUAUUAAUCUAAAUAAAAGCAUGGAUCAGCAAUUACUUUGACAUGUAGUUUUGAGGCGUCUGUUUUGUUGCAUUUCCAGUAGUCUCUUGCAGGUAACCAUCUAUCUCACUCCUCUCCUUUUCAUCUUUGUAUAUUUAUAUUUUGUUUUAACUUUUACAAGGUGUUCGAUGAAAAAUCCUAUCAGGUUAUAGCGGAAGAUUAAUCAAUGUAAUGUGAUUUUUAAAAUUGUGUUUGUGCAAUGAAUAUACAGAUUGGCAUUCAUGUAUGUGCGAUUUUUUUCCUUUUCAGAUCCAUUGUAUCUGAAAUUCGACUAUUUAAUGAUUUAUACUUUUUAUGCUGGAAUUUGUCAUCGUACACAAAUAUUCAAUAGCAAUACCAAUGUAUGUAUUUUCUACAACUGAAAUCUUAUUCCAAGUUCUGAAUUUUGUUGGCAUCAGAACCAUAUUUGCUAGAGGGCGACUCUGAAGGCUGCAGCCAUAGAGAUGAACAAGUACAAGGAGCAAGGUUAUCUCUCUCUCUCUCUCUCUCUCUCUCUCUCUCUCUCUCUCUCUCAUCACACACAGAUCCUCAUCUUUGAUUUUGCAUUCAUUUACUAUUGUUUUGUAAAUUGUGUUUGUCCAUUGAAUGUGAAGACUGACAUUCAUGUACGUGCUAUUUCUUGCAUUGCUCUAGAGAUUUGGUUUGGUUAGUUAUUCUCUAUUCUUGUGGCAGACAUAUAUUAUUUUUUAUUCCAAAUUAUUAGUGGACAAUCAGUGGAUAACAUAAUUUAUUUACCUCAAAGUAUGACUUGGCCAGUGAUCUCGUGUCGUAUUACAGUUUUUUGCAUUGUUGAUAAACUCGAUCUUGUUCGUGAAAUCUUUUGUUCGAGCCAUUUAUUGAUUGAAUAUGUUAUAUAUACAUGACUGGAGGAUGGACACUAAGUAAUUCAUAUGCUGUGCUAAACUUGGUUAGUCAUACUUACAAAGAAUUAGCUUCUGCUAAAAGUACUGCACGGCGUCAUGCCAUCCUUAUCUUUAUACAUGCCAAGAAGUGGGACUAAGCUCCAGGCGAGAUCACCGGUAGAUUCAGAUGUGACACCCUUUCCUUCAACUCUUUCUGAAACAUCCAUUGAAAAAUGAGGACCGAUGGAGACAUAUUUAAAUAAGUACUUCAUCACUCGUGUUUUAUUACGCCACUCAACAUUAAUGUGGCCCCGAUGUUUUUUAGCCAGUCCCUGUUGUAUGGAACUACCUGCCGAUUAUCAAGUCACUUUCCAUUCUUAUAUACAAAGCACCCAUUGUCACUGCAUCUAUAAAUAGCAGAACCAUUCCACUGUUAUAUGUAUCAUACUCAGUUUCUUCUGUAUUGUAUAGCCUAUUGUUGCUAAUUUAGGUACAUCAAACGUUUUAUAUUUUUUUGAUCUUCAAUUUAUCAGUCAGCUAAUGGACCUGAGAUCAUAUAGGUAAUCUACUCCUGUAACUAUUCUUCAUGUGCUCAGGAUUUGCUUAUUUGUUGUUUAUCAUCAACUUUUAUAAACCUUUUGGAUUUGCUUUUGUUUACCAGCAGCUUCACGGAUGUCCAGAAAUGCUCUGUUUCAAGUGCUGCUGGUUGUCACUGAGGCCAAAUUGCCGAAGCAGCAUGUUGUGCCCAGGUCCAUGUUGUAGGUUCUUUUGGUAUGCCUUUCUGUUAAGAACAUGAGUAAUUUCAAACUAUGGAUCCUUCAAUGCAUAUUUGAGAAGUGUGUCCCUAUUUGGUAUGUUGCCUUUGCUCAUGUUCCUUCUCUAAGUGAGUAAUCUCAUAUUCGGGAUCUUUCUAUGAAUAUUUCAAGUUUGGUGCCAAAUGUUUGCCUUUGCUCAGCCUUUCUCAUCAUUUUUGUUUUUCCUUAUCAGGGCGUGAAACAUUCAUCAUCAUGGAAUCCAGUUUAUGCAUUCUCUUUCUGAUGGCACCUAAGACCUAACGUAUCAUAAAUAAUAAAAUAAUCUGAAGUCCUUCACACACCUUGGCUGCGUGUAUCUGCCCAUCUUUCUUUUAUUCAGAACAAACAGAGCAUCGAUAUAGCUCAUAGCUAAAUCCAAACACACAACACGACAAUACCUAGACCUGGCACUGAAAAUUAGAAAGAAAGCACACCACAAAGUAAUGGUAAUAGUUCAGCUUUUGGUCUAAAACAACAAACAAAAUUGCUUUGAUACAAAUUUAUGAUGUAUGAUGAUUAUACCUACAACGUUCUCCUUAUUUAUUUGCUUCAAAGAUUACAGUGUUUAUCUUUAAGAUGUAGACUUUAUUUACACAUCAUUGACUAUUUAAUUUGUCUUUCUCUGCUACUCUCUUCCAAUUGUACAUGCCAUCUCCACAACAGAGGUUACAUAGAGUGUUGGAAAUCAUGCAUGCUGUCACCCCGCCAUCAUCAGCCAUCUAGCGCUACAGCCCUCUUGGCCCGUCUAACGUGAGCAUUAGCGGCCUCCAUAGUACCAGCAUCGGGAUCGUCAUCUAGGUUUUUGCCUACUAUCUCUAGACCGUAUGUUGCGCCACAAUGGACUGUCGAGAGAUCAGCGGCAGCGAGAUACAGCCUACAGGCCCAUUAGUUCGAGGAGAUUGGUCCCUAACAACUGAAGCAGCCAUUCAGUUGGCCUGAAGGACAUCAACAACAAUGGGAGCAUUUGUGUCGACAUAUUGAAGGACGAAAGGAGCUCUACUCUAACUAUUUCCAAGCCAAUGAAGGCAGAAUAGGGAAGGCUUCCAGUUCAGUUACUUCCAGAGAUGCAUGGUUGAUAAUUGAUGAGUUCUCAAGGCCCAGUUCACUUACUUACAAAGCUGACUAAUAAAUAAGGAGUUUUGUAAAGUGUUUUUCAUCAUAAAUUAGGAGUUUUGCAAGUGGUUUUCAUCAUAACAUGAGAUUAAAGCAUGUGGACCGUCCGAUUUUUAAGCAUUAGCAAGGGGUUGUGGCCUUGUGGGUGACACCGUAUGGGCAGCACGAUUAUUCUUCACCGAUCAGUUUUGCAUUUGUUCAAUAUGACUUGAAAAAAGAUAUACUUGCAGAUAUGGAACAAACCCUGUCGAAGACGUGCCUGAUGCCGAUGGCAAGAAAAACAUCAGUUGAUUCCCCGUUAGGAAAGUUGUCUAAUAGGUGACACGGGCCGCCGAUAGUUCUCUUCCAGCUAUCUAGGUGCUGUAGAAUUUUUACCGUUCCACUCUUCUCUUUUGCUAUGUAUUGGACAUAUGAAUCAACCGUACGAUGCAAUAGAUGUCUUCUGCAUCUCUUCUAGCUGGUGGCUUGACCCUUCCGUGUCCUUCUUUCUGUACAAUUGUGUUUGCUUCAUGUUGCUAUCUCCACUCUUAUUUUUUACUGCUUUGUACUUUCUACUAGCUGCCAUACUUGGUUUGGAGAAAAAGACUUUGUAUUGAAAUGGAUUAUCAUAUUGGCAGCUUUUUUUAUCACACUUA